UGUUGACUGCAGGACACCAGAGAAUCGACCACUUGAACGCCAAAUGCCGCCCUUG
rnacentral:rRNA from 1 species